GACGUAGGGCGCAAGCGUUGUCCGGAUUUAUUGGGCGUAAAGAGCGUGUAGGCGGUUUGGUAGGUCCGUUGUGAAAACUCGAGGCUCAACCUCGAGACGCCGGCGGAAACCAUCAGGCUAGAGUCCGGAAGAGGAGAGUGGAAUUCCAGGUGUAGCGGUGAAAUGCGCAGAUAUCAGGAAGAACACCCGUGGCUAAGGCGGCUCUCUAGUACGGUACUGACGCUGAGACGCGAAAGCGUGGGGAGCGAACAGG
rnacentral:rRNA from 1 species